GACGUAGGAGGCGAGCGUUGUCCGGAUUCAUUGGGCGUAAAGAGCACGCAGGCGGUUUGGCAAGUCGGAUGUGAAAACCCGAAGCUCAACUUCGGGCCUGCAUCCGAAACUGCCCGACUAGAGGUAGGUAGGGGAGAUCGGAAUUCCUGGUGUGGCGGUGAAAUGCGCAGAUAUCAGGAGGAACACCGGUGGCGAAGGCGGAUCUCUGGGCCUUACCUGACGCUGAGGCGCGAAAGCUAGGGGAGCAAACAGG
rnacentral:rRNA from 1 species